rnacentral:rRNA from 1 species
AACUGAAGAGUUUGAUCAUGGCUCAGAUUGAACGCUGGCGGCAGGCCUAACACAUGCAAGUCGAGCGGUAACAGAUCUAGCUUGCUAGAUGCUGACGAGCGGCGGACGGGUGAGUAAUGCAUAGGAAUCUGCCCGAUAGUGGGGGAUAACCUGGGGAAACCCAGGCUAAUACCGCAUACGUCCUACGGGAGAAAGGGGGCUUCGGCUCCCGCUAUUGGAUGAGCCUAUGUCGGAUUAGCUAGUUGGUGAGGUAAAGGCUC